AUGGAGCCGACCUUGAAAUACCACCCUUUAAUGUUUGAUGUUCUAACGUUGACCCGUAAUCCGGGUUGCGGACAGUGUCUGGUGGGUAGUUUGACUGGGGCGGUCUCCUCCUAAAGAGUAACGGAGGAGCACGAAGGUUGGCUAAUCCUGGUCGGACAUCAGGAGGUUAGUGCAAUGGCAUAAGCCAGCUUGACUGCGAGCGUGACGGCGCGAGCAGGUGCGAAAGCAGGUCAUAGUGAUCCGGUGGUUCUGAAUGGAAGGGCCAUCGCUCAACGGAUAAAAGGUACUCCGGGGAUAACAGGCUGAUACCGCCCAAGAGUUCAUAUCGACGGCGGUGUUUGGCACCUCGAUGUCGGCUCAUCACAUCCUGGGGCUGAAGUAGGUCCCAAGGGUAUGGCUGUUCGCCAUUUAAAGUGGUACGCGAGCUGGGUUUAGAACGUCGUGAGACAGUUCGGUCCCUAUCUGCCGUGGGCGCUGGAGAACUGAGGGGGGCUGCUCCUAGUACGAGAGGACCGGAGUGGACGCAUCACUGGUGUUCGGGUUGUCAUGCCAAUGGCACUGCCCGGUAGCUAAAUGCGGAAGAGAUAAGUGCUGAAAGCAUCUAAGCACGAAACU
rnacentral:rRNA from 1 species